ensembl:snRNA U2 U2 spliceosomal RNA
AUUUGUUGUUGGCUAAGAUCAAGUGUUCUAAUCAGUUUAAUAUCUGAUAUUUCCUCUAUAUGAGGACUACAUAUUAAAUCGAUUUUUAGAGCAGGGUGACGGAAGAGGAGCUUGCUCCGUCCACUCCACACGUUUGCGGUAGGCUGGAGGUUAGGCAACCAUUC